CAGUGGUUCCUUAGGUAUCCAUGGGUCUUGUGUCCCACUUUUAACAGCACUUCUUUGUGGUACUCCGUGUCCUCUGAAUCCCUCCAAGAACUGAGGCCUAGAAACAACCUGUUGAUCUGACACUCCCCAAUUUCAGAGUCCUCUAGAAGGUUGCUUUUAAGCCUGCUGGUUUUCAUAUGCCCUGCCCCUAGAGUGAAAUUUCUGCCAAUUUAAUUAUGAGGUGAUGGCAGUUAGCAGGAAUUAGCGCCCAUCAUGUAAAAAUUCAGGUUCCUUUCAGUGAACCCAACUCAUACCCACACACAUUGACAACCAUUUGCUAAAACAGUCUAAUCUCCUCUUGCAGCAGAAGUGAUGAGCCUCCCUGGGUGACCAAAGGCACUGCCGGCAACAGGCAUUUGUCUCUAGAUCUUUGGAAACAUAAAAGAUUUCAUUACCUUCCUGGAAACCUUGGCUCUAAAUAGCAUGGGAAUCCAACAUUUUCAUCUCAGUGCUACCAAGUGCCGGGAUAAUAGGCCAAGCAAAUCUGCAGCAGUCACCUGGGUGAUUCUAAAUAUCUGGAUGGUUGACAAAAAGUUUAAUCUGAUGUCCACAUCAUUACCUCAAGGUAACAUAGUCUGACUCCUCAGGUAGAACUCUGGUUCCCUUUUCUUAUGCCCACACUUAUCCUUCGGUGUUUUACCUAUCUGUUUGCUUCUGUAUCUCCCCCACGGGGCCUAAUUUUAGGAAGAAAGACACUGUGUCCUUGCUCCCAGUUGUUUCCACAGUGCCUAGCGCAGUGUUUGGAGCAUUACUGCACACUCAGUAAAUAUUAGUCAGAUGAAAACACUAGGGCAGCACUAAGUGGAUACGGUAACGCUAAGGUAAGGCAGUGGAGAGAGAGCUCUGCCAAGGGUCAGCCGAUUCCUUGGAGAUUUGCCUACGUGGGUGGCACCAUAGCUAGAGCUGCCCCCCUGUGUAAGGACUCUUUCUGUAUUUCGGUUGACGAUGACCAGGAACGAUGGGGCUGGGGAAGCCAGCUGGAUUGAUAUGCUGAUACCAUUUUCAGACCCGAACGAGGACCUUGGGGGCCCAUGUGGUGCCACUCGCACAUUUUAAACAUGGAGAAAGUGGGGCACAGAAGGCAACAGCUGCUGUCCCUGAGGCACUAGCUAGCAGAGGACCCUUUCACACCCGUGCCUCCAGACAUGGUCAGUGCUCUUCCCUCUGCAAUCAGCCGCCUCUCCUAAGGCCUGAAGGUCAACAGCCAGCGUUUCAAGGGCAGCUCCACAAAGGACAUGACCACGUGGGCUCUGGGAGAUAUCUUCCCCUUUCCCCACCUCAGUUUCCCCACUGGGAAAAUCAGCCUUAUAACGUGUGACUCCCGGGGCCAUGGUGAGCUAGCCUUAGAGGAAACAGUGCUUGGAGUGUUCCUAGCGGAGUGCCUGUUACAUAGCUGAUUCCCAGCUCCUGACUCCCUUCUCCUCUACCCGGGCACAUGAGGCCUUUCAGGACAUGCAGAGAUGAAGAGUGUCUUUCGUGGUUGGGAAGGGUCAGCUGUGUAGAGGGUCUCGGCUGCUCAGACCCGUCUCAUCCUUCGGGAGACAAAUUUGGAGCUCAAUCCUGCAUCAGUGUGCUCUUACUCUGAAGAGACUCUCCUCCCUGCUCACUCCUGACAACCCCCGAGGAAACAGAGCUUCUAAACACAGACUUUCCAAUUUUCCUAGUAAAAUGAAUGAAAGAACCUUUUGGGGAAUAAAGUGAUUUCUUUUUAGCUCCACUUGUUUACUUUUCCAUAAGCUCCCAAGAUGGCUUACAUGUUAGCUGUUAAUCACACCAUCUGUUCAAACAGUACUUCAGUAAAUGAUUCAAUUCAUACUUUUCUUCUAAAAGAAUCUUUUUAAAGACAGUGUUUAUAUCUCUGUUAUCCUUCAUUUGGCAACAUAGUAUGAGCUAUUUUAACUUUGCUAUCGUUGUAAGUACACAUUGAAUUCCCUAUUUCUUAACUGUGCAGAAAACAA